rnacentral:rRNA from 1 species
UGGGGAAUAUUGCACAAUGGGGGAAACCCUGAUGCAGCAACGCCGCGUGCGGGAUGACGGCCUUCGGGUUGUAAACCGCUUUCAGCCAUGACGAAGCUUUUGUGACGGUAGUGGCAGAAGAAGCACCGGCUAACUACGUGCCAGCAGCCGCGGUGAUACGUAGGGUGCGAGCGUUGUCCGGAAUUAUUGGGCGUAAAGAGCUUGUAGGCGGUUUGUCGCGUCGAAAGUGUAAACUCAGUGCUUAACGCUGAGCCUGCUUUCGAUACGGGCUGACUAGAGGAAGGUAGGGGAGAAUGGAAUUCCCGGUGGAGCGGUGGAAUGCGCAGAUUUCGGGAGGAACACCAGUGGCGAAGGCGGUUCUCUGGACCUUUCCUGACGCUGAGAAGCGAAAGCGUGGGUAGCAAACAGG